rnacentral:rRNA from 1 species
GACGAACGCUGGCGGCGUGCUUAACACAUGCAAGUCGAACGGAAAGGCCCUGCUUUUGUGGGGUGCUCGAGUGGCGAACGCGUGAGUAACACGUGAGUAACCUGCCCUUGACUUUGGGAUAACUUCAUGAAACUGGGGCUAAUACCGGAUAGGAGCUCCUGCUGCAUGGUGGGGGUUGGAAAGUUUCGGUGGUUGGGGAUGGACUCGCGGCCUCUCCGCUUGUUGGUGGGGUAGUGGCUUACCAAGGCUUUGACGGGUAGCCGGGCUGAGAGGGUGACCGGCCACGUUGGGACUGAGAUGCGGCACAGACUCCUACGGGAGGCAGCAGAGGGGAAUAGUGCACAAUGGGCGGAAGCCUGAUGCAGCAACGCCGCGUGCGGGAUGACGGCCUUCGGGUUGUAAACCGCUUUCGCCUGUGACGAAGCGUGAGUGACGGUAAUGGGUAAAGAAGCACCGGCUAACUACGUG